rnacentral:rRNA from 1 species
AUUGAACGCUGGCGGCAGGCCUAACACAUGCAAGUCGAGCGAGCGGCGGACGGGUGAGUAAUGUAUGGGGACUGCCCGAUAGAGGGGUAUAACUACUGGAAACGGUGGCUACUACCGCAUACUAUCGUAUGACCCUUAUGGGAUUAGCUAGUGGGUGGGGGAAAGGCUCACCUAGGCGACGAUCUCUAGCUGGCCUGAGAGGGUGAUCAGCCACACUGGGACUGAGACACGGCCCAGACUCCUACGGAGGCAGCAGUGGGGAAUAUUGCGCAAUGGGCGCAAGCCUGAUGCAGCAAUGCCGCGUGUAUGAAGAAGGCCUUAGGGUUGUAAAGUACUUUCAGCGGGGAGGCGUUACCCGCAGAGGAAGCACCGGCUAACUCCGUGCCAGCAGCCGCGGUAAUAC